UACGUAGGGUGCAAGCGUUGUCCGGAAUUAUUGGGCGUAAAGAGCUCGUAGGCGGUUUGUCGCGUCUGCUGUGAAAACUCAGGGCUUAACCCUGAGCCUGCAGUGGGUACGGGCAGACUAGAGUGUGGUAGGGGGAGAUCGGAAUUCCUGGUGUAGCGGUGGAAUGCGCAGAUAUCAGGAGGAACACCGGUGGCGAAGGCGGGCUCUGGGCCUAAGCUGACGC
rnacentral:rRNA from 1 species